CUUGUGACGACAAAGUGGUUCCUAUCUCAAUUAUUUAGUAAGGACUGGGGCCAGAGAACAUCGUAGAGUAAAAGGCAAAAGGUAGCCUUUUCUUCCAAUUAAUGAAACAGGUAUAACACUAAGACCUGGCAGAUGACCGAUAGCUCUCUCAUGCACUAUCGCGUUAGGUCAUAUUUGCGCAAGUUACAAAAUGCGGUUUGUUUUAUUCGCUCUCGCCCCUUUGUCUCACCUCCAUUGUUUGGUCACUGGAAGAACAUAAAUACGAUUCACCCUCGCACCAGACGUAACUAACCCGACUCUACUGUCUAAAAAAAAAAAAAAAAGAGCAAGAAACAACAAAUUUCUGAAAAGGAACCAGGAAAAGGAAUAAAGGAAUUUGUCAGGCCUCACAGAGGAUCAGAACCCAGGUGCAGAGAUCAAACACAGAGGCAGGGCCAAGUUAAACAAAAGAUUAUCCUAUCCAGGCCAAUCUUGUUGAUGUGGUCAGUGUGAUGGCUGCCUUUGAGUCCAGGGAUAAUAACAGGGAGAGUUGACCUCGAUGUCGGCAUCACCAUGAUACUGCAUCAAACGCACGAGGGCUUUGUCAGUCCCGCUACUCUCGGUCUGCGGCCCCUCCUUAACGUCAUGCAGAGGGCUGGAGGAGAGGACAGGAUGGAGAGAACAGAGCAGAGAGGGAGGGGGAGCAAAGACUGUGGUGCCGUCUGUUUAUCAGGACUGUAAGGGAGAAUUCCUGAUGGAGUGAUAAGGAAAACAGGCAAACAGAAUCAUAAAAAUAGAAAGAAUUCAAAUGAUGAGAGGGAGGGCAGAUGAAGGGAGGAAAGAAUUUUGUUGAACAUUUCAUGUUUAUGAACGUGUGUGUGUUGGACUCAUAUAAUUAUAUAAUAUAAUGUGACUCUCUCUGGUGCAGUUGUGGUUAGACCGCUAUUGUCUCCUGUCCCUUCACCUGGGUGAGAAUGUGCCAUGAGUGGCAGGCUUUGAAUUUUGGCUCUUGUUUUAAGAAUUCCAUUGUGUGGUUUCUGUUUUAGAUGCAUCGUGUUUAUUUUGCCUUGUGCUAUUCAAUUUCUGUUUGCACACAACAGCUCUGCUGACAUCCCUCAGCCCUGUUCAAUUCCAGCCAGAUGUUUUCAGCGGGAAACCACAUGACAAAUAACUGUACCCCAGAGUCAAUGCUACCAAGACCUCAUCUCUUAGUAGUUGAGUGUCAUAGUGAAGACCAAAUAAGCAAGAUCAUAAACAAACACAGAAUCAAAUAUUCUAGUACUAGUUUUCCAGCUAUGCUUUCAUAUUCAGCAUGAUAAAAAUGUUGGCCUGGUCCCAGAAUUAAAAAAACAUAUCCUUUAUGCAAGGCAUUGUGUAGCCAAUGAGAUAUAGGGGAUGAUUUGGUGGCCUGAGAGAGCCAGUUUUAGUAGGAAACCAAGACACCUGGAUUAACACCCCUACUCUUUCGAAAAAAUGCCAUGGGAUCUGUAAUGACCACAGAGAGUCACAACCUUCAUCUGAAGGAUGUUAAUGUUAAUGUACUUCUUUGAGGAAACAGAGUGUGUAUCAGGCACUAGAUUUGUGGUAUCAGGGAAUGUUGUGGGAAGUGUGUAUAAAACAAUGCCUUUAGUGGAUAUUUAGAGCAGCAUUUUUCAAAGUGGGUGCGGCAGCACCCUGGGGUAAUAGUGUGUCGUUCCUGAGUGAUUUAUCCUUUUAGUGAACGAAAGGAACUGACUCACCUCGAUGAAAGGAUUAAUUCCUUUGGUUAGGUGCCAGUAAAUUGUGAACUUGCCGUUCACUGAAACCACGGUUACUCCUAUUUGAUUACAAUUUUCGCCAUUGGGCUCUGUAGUAGCCAUUAGCCAAUGACAGCUUCGAUCCACUUGAUCGUGGCGUGCUUUCUGCGUCCCUCCCAUCGGUGUGAUCGAAAGCAACGGCUCCUGAACUGAAAGCGUGGCGGAACAAAUCCAGGAAGGAACUGGGUCCACAAUGAGUUCCGCACUGGAUACCGCUCUAUCGCUCUCCCUCCCCCUAGUGUGUUCGUAUUGUAAUGACAAACACUUACCUGAGUACAAUUAAAGCAAUUGGCUUUUAGCUUAGUCCAACUCUUUGAUUUUAUGAUAUAAUGUAGCCUCAAUACAAUGUGAAAAAGAGUAGGCUAUGAUUUUAGUAUGCAUUUCUCAAUGGAUUCCGUACCAA